rnacentral:rRNA from 1 species
CAGCAGCCACGGUAAUACGAAGGGGGCUAGCGUUGCUCGGAAUUACUGGGCGUAAAGGGAGCGUAGGCGGAUCGUUUAGUCAGGGGUGAAAUCCCGGGGCUCAACCUCGGAACUGCCUUUGAUACUGGCGAUCUUGAGUAUGGGAGAGGUGUGUGGAACUCCGAGUGUAGAGGUGAAAUUCGUAGAUAUUCGGAAGAACACCAGUGGCGAAGGCGACACACUGGCCCAUUACUGACGCUGAGGCUCGAAAGCGUGGGGAGCAAACAGGAUUAGAGACCCCUGUAGUCCCUGUCUCUUAUAC